rnacentral:rRNA from 1 species
UACGUAGGGUGCAAGCGUUGUCCGGAAUUAUUGGGCGUAAAGAGCUCGUAGGCGGUCUGUCGCGUCGGCUGUGAAAACCCGGGGCUCAACCCCGGGCCUGCAGUCGAUACGGGCAGACUAGAGUGCGGUAGGGGAGAUGGAAUUCCUGGUGUAGCGGUGAAAUGCGCAGAUAUCAGGAGGAACACCAGUGGCGAAGGCGGAUCUCUGGGCCGUAACUGACGCUGAGGAGCGAAAGCUGGGGAGCGAACAGG